rnacentral:rRNA from 1 species
CACACUAUCAUUAACUGAAUCCAUAGGUUAAUGAGGCGAACCGGGGGAACUGAAACAUCUAAGUACCCCGAGGAAAAGAAAUCAACCGAGAUUCCCCCAGUAGCGGCGAGCGAACGGGGAGCAGCCCAGAGCCUGAAUCAGUGUGUGUGUUAGUGGAAGCGUCUGGAAAGGCGCGCGAUACAGGGUGACAGCCCCGUACACAAAAAUGCACAUGCUGUGAGCUCGAUGAGUAGGGCGGGACACGUGGUAUCCUGUCUGAAUAUGGGGGGACCAUCCUCCAAGGCUAAAUACUCCUGACUGACCGAUAGUGAACCAGUACCGUGAGGGAAAGGCGAAAAGAACCCCGGCGAGGGGAGUGAAAAAGAACCUGAAACCGUGUACGUACAAGCAGUGGGAGCACGCUUAGGCGUGUGACUGCGUACCUUUUGUAUAAUGGGUCAGCGACUUAUAUUCUGUAGCAAGGUUAACCGAAUAGGGGAGCCGAAGGGAAACCGAGUCUUAACUGGGCGUUAAGUUGCAGGGUAUAGACCCGAAACCCGGUGAUCUAGCCAUGGGCAGGUUGAAGGUUGGGUAACACUAACUGGAGGACCGAACCGACUAAUGUUGAAAAAUUAGCGGAUGACUUGUGGCUGGGGGUGAAAGGCCAAUCAAACCGGGAGAUAGCUGGUUCUCCCCGAAAGCUAUUUAGGUAGCGCCUCGUGAAUUCAUCUCCGGGGGUAGAGCACUGUUUCGGCAAGGGGGUCAUCCCGACUUACCAACCCGAUGCAAACUGCGAAUACCGGAGAAUGUUAUCACGGGAGACACACGGCGGGUGCUAACGUCCGUCGUGAAGAGGGAAACAACCCAGACCGCCAGCUAAGGUCCCAAAGUCAUGGUUAAGUGGGAAACGAUGUGGGAAGGCCCAGACAGCCAGGAUGUUGGCUUAGAAGCAGCCAUCAUUUAAAGAAAGCGUAAUAGCUCACUGGUCGAGUCGGCCUGCGCGGAAGAUGUAACGGGGCUAAACCAUGCACCGAAGCUGCGGCAGCGACGCUUAUGCGUUGUUGGGUAGGGGAGCGUUCUGUAAGCCUGCGAAGGUGUGCUGUGAGGCAUGCUGGAGGUAUCAGAAGUGCGAAUGCUGACAUAAGUAACGAUAAAGCGGGUGAAAAGCCCGCUCGCCGGAAGACCAAGGGUUCCUGUCCAACGUUAAUCGGGGCAGGGUGAGUCGACCCCUAAGGCGAGGCCGAAAGGCGUAGUCGAUGGGAAACAGGUUAAUAUUCCUGUACUUGGUGUUACUGCGAAGGGGGGACGGAGAAGGCUAUGUUGGCCGGGCGACGGUUGUCCCGGUUUAAGCGUGUAGGCUGGUUUUCCAGGCAAAUCCGGAAAAUCAAGGCUGAGGCGUGAUGACGAGGCACUACGGUGCUGAAGCAACAAAUGCCCUGCUUCCAGGAAAAGCCUCUAAGCAUCAGGUAACAUCAAAUCGUACCCCAAACCGACACAGGUGGUCAGGUAGAGAAUACCAAGGCGCUUGAGAGAACUCGGGUGAAGGAACUAGGCAAAAUGGUGCCGUAACUUCGGGAGAAGGCACGCUGAUAUGUAGGUGAAGUCCCUCGCGGAUGGAGCUGAAAUCAGUCGAAGAUACCAGCUGGCUGCAACUGUUUAUUAAAAACACAGCACUGUGCAAACACGAAAGUGGACGUAUACGGUGUGACGCCUGCCCGGUGCCGGAAGGUUAAUUGAUGGGGU